rnacentral:rRNA from 1 species
UGAGAGUUUGAUCCUGGCUCAGAGCGAACGCUGGCGGCAGGCUUAACACAUGCAAGUCGAGCGGGCGUAGCAAUACGUCAGCGGCAGACGGGUGAGUAACGCGUGGGAACGUACCUUUUGGUUCGGAACAACACAGGGAAACUUGUGCUAAUACCGGAUAAGCCCUUACGGGGAAAGAUUUAUCGCCGAAAGAUCGGCCCGCGUCUGAUUAGCUAGUUGGUGAGGUAAUGGCUCACCAA